UACCCCAAAUAUAAUGGAGGAUAUUUUGAAAAAAGCUGAACAAGCAAGAGAAUCAUUAAUUCCAUCGAAAAGUGAAGCCGUAUACCAAAAAGAAUACAAGAUAUAUCUGGACUGGCUGUUUCAUCUCCUAAAGAUGUUAUCAGAUUCCUAAAGGACGCUCCUAAUGAUAUUCAUUUAUUGCAUAAGGUUGUUUUGAUUAUGGGUUAUUUUGGAGGAUGCAGAAGUCAGGAACUUUUGAAUAUGAAGAUAUCGGAUAUAGAGGACCGGGAUUCCGU